UACGAAGGGGGCUAGCGUUGCUCGGAAUCACUGGGCGUAAAGGGUGCGUAGGCGGGUCUUUAAGUCAGGGGUGAAAUCCUGGAGCUCAACUCCAGAACUGCCUUUGAUACUGAGGAUCUUGAGUUCGGGAGAGGUGAGUGGAACUGCGAGUGUAGAGGUGAAAUUCGUAGAUAUUCGCAAGAACACCAGUGGCGAAGGCGGCUCACUGGCCCGAUACUGACGCUGAGGCACGAAAGCGUGGGGAGCAAAC
rnacentral:rRNA from 1 species